UCUUGAAAAUUGGAGACAUACAUAUUUAAUAUUUACUUCUUAUUUAAACCAUAUAUAGUGAUGAAACUUAUAUAGAGACAUUCUAUUUAGUGCUCGUUAGUACUCACUGAAGUUUCCAUACUUUGGAAUCACUGUAGUUAUUGGAAAUUACAUUCUUUAUAUCUGGACACAUAGAUUAUGAUGUUCCUGUAACAUACUGGUUGUACUGUAGAUGUUAGAUAUAUAACCUGGUUCCACAGAUUGGUAAGGGUCAUAUUAUAUUGUACCUAUAUGUCAGUUAACUUGAGUUCGAUAAUAGAUAUUAAACAUUACAGUAGUGCAUACGAACUUAAUAGCUAGAAUACUAUAGUGAACAGUUAAUAACCUUCGUAUGGUAAAGGUUUUAUGAAUGACACUCGUUUAUGAAGUACGAUACAUUCGACUUGUUUAUAAUACGCUUGGUUGAUUAUAAUGAUAUGCUAUUUGAUACGACUUAUCAGAUACAUGUAUUUGUAUUUAGAAAUAUAAUUGCAAGUUUGUUGCAUAUUAUGAAUGUCACUGCAUUCUUGAUACUCAGUAUAGUUUAUUGUAUAUGGAAUAGAAUAUUUCAUACGAUCUUGUAACAUUGUUAAUUACACCAGUAUACUAUUUGUAUGAUUCUAGUAUAAGAAUUUAAUAAGACUGUGAUAUUGAUAAAUGUGAUAAUUAUAUGCUAUUGUUAUUGCAGGGUUAUUUUCCCUAUGUUUACUUGUAUAAUAAAGUGAUGUCAAAGAA